AUUAGAGUUUGAUCCUGGCUCAGAUUGAACGCUGGCGGCAGGCCUAACACAUGCAAGUCGGGCGGUAACACGGGGAGCUUGCUCCUGGGUGACGAGCGGCGGACGGGUGAGUAAUGUCUGGGAAACUGCCUGAUGGAGGGGGAUAACUACUGGAAACGGUAGCUAAUACCGCAUAAUGUCGCAAGACCAAAGAGGGGGACCUUCGGGCCUCUUGCCAUCAGAUGUGCCCAGAUGGGAUUAGCUAGUAGGUGGGGUAACGGCUCACCUAGGCGACGAUUCCUAGCUGGUCUGAGAGGAUGACCAGCCACACUGGAACUGAGACACGGUCCAGACUCCUACGGGAGGCAGCAGUGGGGAAUAUUGCACAAUGGGCGCAAGCCUGAUGCAGCCAUGCCGCGUGUAUGAAGAAGGCCUUCGGGUUGUAAAGUACUUUCAGCGGGGAGGAAGGUGUUGUGGUUAAUAACCACAGCAAUUGACGUUACCCGCAGAAGAAGCACCGGCUAACUCCGUGCCAGCAGCCGCGGUAAUACGGAGGGUGCAAGCGUUAAUCGGAAUUACUGGGCGUAAAGCGCACGCAGGCGGUCUGUCAAGUCGGAUGUGAAAUCCCCGGGCUCAACCUGGGAACUGCAUUCGAAACUGGCAGGCUAGAGUCUUGUAGAGGGGGGUAGAAUUCCAGGUGUAGCGGUGAAAUGUGUAGAGAUCUGGAGGAAUACCGGUGGCGAAGGCGGCCCCCUGGACAAAGACUGACGCUCAGGUGCGAAAGCGUGGGGAGCAAACAGGAUUAGAUACCCUGGUAGUCCACGCCGUAAACGAUGUCGACUUGGAGGUUGUGCCCUUGAGGCGUGGCUUCCGGAGCUAACGCGUUAAGUCGACCGCCUGGGGAGUACGGCCGCAAGGUUAAAACUCAAAUGAAUUGACGGGGGCCCGCACAAGCGGUGGAGCAUGUGGUUUAAUUCGAUGCAACGCGAGAACCUUACCUACUCUUGACAUCCAGAGGAACUUUCCAGGAGAUGGAUUGGUGGCCUUCGGAACUCUGAGAACAGGUGCUGCAUGGCUGUUCGUCAGCCUCGGUGUUGUUGAAAUGGUUGGGUUAAGUUCCCGCCAACGAGCGCAACUCUUAUUCCUUUGUUUGCAGC
rnacentral:rRNA from 1 species